rfam:Aneurinibacillus migulanus strain DSM 2895 super7, whole genome shotgun sequence.
AUGAAUCUUCGUUAGGUGAGGCUCCUAUACAAACAUAGGCCACUGCCCAGAAAUAUCGAAAGAUGCCCAUGGGUAGAACAGGGAUUGUCGGAUUAAGGCUUUUCCUAAUGUGGCUAAGAGAUGAUUUCUCUUUACGGUGUAUAGUGCUAAAACUCGACUAGGAGGGAACGG